GACGAACGCUGGCGGCGUGCCUAAUACAUGCAAGUUGAGCGCUGAAGGUUGGUACUUGUACCAACUGGAUGAGCAGCGAACGGGUGAGUAACGCGUGGGGAAUCUGCCUUUGAGCGGGGGACAACAUUUGGAAACGAAUGCUAAUACCGCAUAAAAACUUUAAACACAAGUUUUAAGUUUGAAAGAUGCAAUUGCAUCACUCAAAGAUGAUCCCGCGUUGUAUUAGCUAGUUGGUGAGGUAAAGGCUCACCAAGGCGAUGAUACAUAGCCGACCUGAGAGGGUGAUCGGCCACAUUGGGACUGAGACACGACCCAAACUCCUACGGGAGGCAGCAGUAGGGAAUCUUCGGCAAUGGACGAAAGUCUGACCGAGCAACGCCGCGUGAGUGAAGAAGGUUUUCGGAUCGUAAAACUCUGUUGGUAGAGAAGAACGUUGGUGAGAGUGGAAAGCUCAUCAAGUGACGGUAACUACCCAGAAAGGGACGGCUAACUACGUG
rnacentral:rRNA from 1 species